UACAGGUUCCAUAUGCUCUUUUUUUAUCUUAAAUGUAAGUUUCAGACUACUUGUGUGCAGUGAAUGUGUUUUUAUGAUUGCAGGUUCGUGGUUUUCUGAAUUGAGCGUGGUGGAGAUCAAGAAGGCGUCCGCGGCUCCGAGAGAGUGUGUGUCUACUGUGGUCUGCUACCUUAAGUGGUUCGUGGUUUUCUGAAUUGAGCGUGGUGGAGAUCAAGAAGGCGUCCGCGGCUCCGAGAGAGUGUGUGUCUACUGUGGUCUGCUACCUUAAGUGGUUCGUGGUUUUCUGAAUUGAGCGUGGUGGAGAUCAAGAAGGCGUCCGCGGCUCCGAGAGAGUGUGGUGUCUACUGUGGUCUGCUACCUUAAGUGGU